UUUUGAGCUUAAAAUAUCAUUAUGUUUUUUAAGAUUAAUUUUUUGCACGGGAAACAAGGCUGUUAAAAGUGGGAACAAUGAAUUGAAUGAACUAUAUGGAUUGGUGACUGUAAUUCAUGAAAUGGGUAAAUAACCAAAUGUUCUCAAGGGCAAAAGAAAAAUGUCCUGUGUGUUUACUAAAAAUUCAUAUCAAGUGGUUAGAUUUAACUUGAUCCAUGCCAG
rnacentral:lncRNA from 1 species